GUUGGUGAAAAAAUGUCGUAUGUAAUAGUAGGAGGGUCUGUAGUUUUCCACCCCUAGGACUGCAUUUCGUGCAUUUUCUGAAACAGAUUUUUGGAUAUACAGCGUUGCAUUAUACUGUAAAUAGACUGAUUCUUCAGUUCAUGGUAUGUUUAUUUAAAUACCAAAACUCGGUCACUCGCUAAUUUGUUUAACCUAGCCUUCUAACAAGUCAAAUCUAUAGGGUCUGGGAUAUGCGGAUACACUGGAAAAUGUUUAAAAUCUAAGGUAUUUACAACACAAUGUUUAGCAUUUUUAAAAAGAUAUUGAAUCAUUUGAUGAUAAAGGACAUGACAUAAGAUUCACAAAGUAAAUUUCAGUUACUAGAAUAUCAAACCUCGCCUCUAGUAUCAAAAUUCAAUCCUCCCUCCAAUGUUUUGCUUAUAUUUUAGAGAAAAUGGAUUUUGACUGAAGAGGCGGCAAAUAUUGACUCGUGGAGGGGGAGGGGGCACAAGGGGGAUUGGGGGCAAAGCCCCCCUCCCCCCUUGCCUUCUAUGCUGAAAAAGGCCCUGGCUCGUUUUUCCACUGCCUGAUCAUUUCUCGUUCUCCGGAACUCCCCCACGUGGUUCUAUACAACUGUAUAGAAGCACGGAAAAUGUUUUCUUAAUUGUAUUCAAGAAAUUUUUGGACUCCAGACUCGAAAUGAAACGCAAUUAAACCCAAACGACAGAGGAGGUUGGACAGCAGGCCGCAAAGCAUCAUGGGUAUUGAGCGCCUAAUUCCACGCGUGGCUUUCAUUGACUGUUGACUGUCGAGGAGUGAACAUCUCUCUGACUACAAAACCAAUAUGGAAGCUUUCGAACGACAAGAAUGUCAGGCUGCGAUAUUUUGUGAAAACAGCAUGUUAUUGCUGUAUUGUUGCGAUCAUCAUUAUGACUUGUGUUUUACUAUAUCAAGUUUACCUUUUUUUAAAUUGCAUGGGACGUGUUGUCAUUUUAGCUUUACAAAUAAUCCGUCUGAGAAAAGGAAUUGUGUUUAAUUUAUAUUCCCAAUAGCGAGGCUCUUCUUUCUAAGUUGGAUGGCGUUAAAUCUCCGUGUAUCAUCAACGUGAAAACAAGCGCAGUAUUUAAGGUUGGUAUACUACAAUGCAUUACAG